rnacentral:tRNA from 1 species
ACUAAAAUAGCUUAAAUUUAAAGCAUUAUAUUGAAGAUAUAAGGAUAAGCUUUAUGCUUUUUUGGUA